GCAAUUGCCACACAGAAAGCUUCACAAAAUAGCAGUUUGUAAUUCUCUAUUAGAGGAAAAGAAAAUAUACCAGCUGAAGAUGAACAUGCUCUUGGGUUUCUGGAGCGACUGUAGGAAGGCACCACUGAAGCUGCCAAAGCAAGGAUUUGCAGACCAGACCCACCAUGCUGCCACUGCCAAAGCCGACACUGAAGCCGCCGCAUUGCCGCCAUAGCAAGGAGGGGUAGACCUGUUCCACCAAGUCGCCAGCCAACACUGAAGCCAUCACUCAAACCAUCAGGCAUGAGGCACGAUCCACCACAGGAAUCCUGCAGCAUUGGCAGCACCCAGAGUGAGAGAGACUGUCACCCUCAGCUGGUGAACCUGAGCCUGGCAUGCAAGGUCACCCAUGGAGCCAACCGAGGGCAACGGU